CCAAAAAGUGGGAGGCGGGCAGAAAGGGACAAUCUUAGAAACACGACAUCGGAGGGCUAACUAUUUUCUUUCUUCUUCACUCCUUUUUCUUGGUGUAAGAACAUGAUGUUCCUAUGGGAUGCAAGGCCAUCCCACAUCAAAUGAAGGAUGAGAGAGUAAGAGAGGGAGUUUGUCCCAAUGCCUGGAGUGAAGCUGGUCUAAGCCUCCUCCCCAGGGCUUCUUAAGCGUGGGGAGUAAUCCACGUGUGACUGCUUUGUGGAGAAAUGAAGAUGGGGAAGAGAUAAUGGCAUCGUCUGCUGCUGGACCAUUCUUCACUUCAUUAUCCUCGGGGGUGAGUGAAGAAGUGAGGUGACCAGGAUCAGACACUAUCAUCUGACAAGGGACCCCUAACUGCCCUCAGCCUCUUCACCAAUACUCCGCAGUGGCAAACAA
rnacentral:lncRNA from 1 species